rnacentral:rRNA from 1 species
GAUGAACGCUGGCGGCGUGCCUAAUACAUGCAAGUCGAGCGAACGGACGAGAAGCUUGCUUCUCUGAUGUUAGCGGCGGACGGGUGAGUAACACGUGGAUAACCUACCUAUAAGACUGGGAUAACUUCGGGAAACCGGAGCUAAUACCGGAUAAUAUUUUGAACCGCAUGGUUCAAAAGUGAAAGACGGUCUUGCUGUCACUUAUAGAUGGAUCCGCGCUGCAUUAGCUAGUUGGUAAGGUAACGGCUUACCAAGGCAACGAUGCAUAGCCGACCUGAGAGGGUGAUCGGCCACACUGGAACUGAGACACGGUCCAGACUCCUACGGGAGGCAGCAGUAGGGAAUCUUCAGCAAUGGGCGAAAGCCUGACGGAGCAACGCCGCGUGAGUGAUGAAGGUCUUCGGAUCGUAAAACUCUGUUAUUAGGGAAGAACAUAUGUGUAAGUAACUGUGCACAUCUUGACGGUACCUAAUCAGAAAGCCACGGCUAACUACGU